UAUUUUAUAUGUUCUAACUGUAACAUAAAUUGUGGUGGAUAUUGUUUCUUCUAUUAUUAGAUGCAAAUACUUAUUUAAUGCUGUUGAUUGUUAUCUUUUGUAACCUUGCCAGACUUUGCUUCAAUAACACUAGUAACUAAUGCCAAAUUUCAUAAGUUUCUGUCCUUACCAGAAUGUUCUGAUGGGAGUCAAAUGAGAUGAUUACAAAAGACUUUGAUUGCACUGUUUUCUGAUUAGUAAUGUUUUGAUUGUCUGAUAUUUUCAAUUUUUAGACUUGCACUUGUUGUAUAUGAAAAGAAGGCCCAACAUUACUAAUAAUCCUAUUAUUAGUAAUGCUGGGCCUACUUUUUCCUGUAAACAUAAGUUCAGCUAGCUGUUGAUCAAGUUGUAGACUCAUUUCUUCCUUUGAUUCGGGGAUCUAUGACUAUGAGGCUAUUGUCCCACCUGUUAGUGUCCUGUUAUGUGGUUGUUUGAUAAUUUUUGUUUAAAUGAAGUGCUUUUUGCCAUGCUAACCAAUUACACCACACUUA